GUAGUUAAGUCAGAAACAAAAGUCUAAGAAGGAAAGAAGAUAAACAUAAUACAAAUUUGGUGAUGAAAUUGAUUAGCAAGAAUCAAUACUGCCGUACUGAACAAGCAACCACCUGCGCCCAUUGUUUCAGCCUUGCUUUCACCGUCUGUGGAUUCUCCCCGUGGCCGAUUAUGGCGGCGGGGCUGUUCUCAGAAGAGGGAGAAACAAAUUCAGAAACAGGGGAAGAGCAGAGAGACGCCGAGGAGUUCGAGAGAGUGCGAUUGUACUGCUUAUUAACGGCGUGGUAAAAGCCCAAGGCCGGAAAAGUUUCACAGAGUCGAGGGUCCACCUCCGGUGAGUUGAAUCCGAAACCCAACUCAACGCAGGCUUUGAGUUCUUCGAGAUCAUCGUCGGUCACGCUCUUGGUCCGGCGCAUCUUGCUUUGGGAUUUGCGGCGGAGCCAGGCUUCCUCACGGUCGGCAUCCGGCGACCAGGACAGCUGCUUGUAGAGUGGGAAAGGCCGUGUUAAGGGCAGAGGCGGUGGGCGGUGGUCGGCGGAAUCCGACAUGUGAAGCACCGCCGGGGGUCCGGAGACCUCGCCGG
rnacentral:misc_RNA from 1 species